rnacentral:rRNA from 1 species
CACGUAGGGCGCAAGCGUUGUCCGGAAUUAUUGGGCGUAAAGGGCUCGUAGGCGGUUUGUCGCGUCGGGAGUGAAAUCCACUGGCUUAACUGGUGGCUUGCUUUCGAUACGGGCAGACUGGAGGUAUGCAGGGGAGAACGGAAUUCCUGGUGUAGCGGUGAAAUGCGCAGAUAUCAGGAGGAACGACCGGUGGCGAAGGCGGUUCUCUGGGCAUGUCCUGACGCUGAGGAGCGAAAGCGUGGGGAGCGAACAGG